rnacentral:rRNA from 1 species
AUUGAACGCUGGCGGCAUGCUUUACACAUGCAAGUCGAACGGCAGCGCGGGCUUCGGCCUGGCGGCGAGUGGCGAACGGGUGAGUAAUGCAUCGGAACGUGCCCAGUAGUGGGGGAUAGCCCGGCGAAAGCCGGAUUAAUACCGCAUACGACCUGAGGGUGAAAGCGGGGGACCGAAAGGCCUCGCGCUAUUGGAGCGGCCGAUGUCGGAUUAGCUAGUUGGUGGGGUAAAGGCUUACCAAGGCGACGAUCCGUAGCUGGUCUGAGAGGACGACCAGCCACACUGGGACUGAGACACGGCCCAGACUCCUACGGGAGGCAGCAGUGGGGAAUUUUGGACAAUGGGGGCAACCCUGAUCCAGCCAUGCCGCGUGCGGGAAGAAGGCCUUCGGGUUGUAAACCGCUUUUCUUCGGGAAGAAAUCCUCUGGGCUAAUACCCCGGGGGGAUGACGGUACCGGAAGAAUAAGCACCGGCUAACUACGUG